rnacentral:SRP_RNA from 1 species
GGAAGGUUUAGUUGGGUAUAUAUAAUUAUAAAUCCAGUCAGGUCUGAAAAGAAGCAGCUGUAAUAUUUAUGUGUAGGUCGACUUACCUUCCUAA